CCUCUGUGUAUCGAUACAAGAAUGACUGCUUAUCAUAUUUUGGGGUAUGCAUUCCUUUGAUUCCAACCAGUGUAAAAUGUUCCACCCCAUAUUCUCACACCAAGACCUGUCUCCUUGAGAACAGAAGAGCCUUUUACCCCAAACUCACGGCCACUGUCUCCCUUAAUGAGGGUGUGCUCAGCACCAUGUGUGAGCAGGGGCAGAGCCCCCUUUCCAGACACAGCCUUUGCCCCAGAAGCCAUGCCUUCUGGCUCAGUAGCAGGAACACAGGCUCUAACCUGCUUGCCUAAAGAGAGUCAUGCUGAGUCUCUACAUGGAAGUGUCUGCCUACAAAGGCAACAAGCUUCUCCAUCCACUUGAGGCUUACCAUCUCCGCAGGCCAGCCAGAGAGAAGUACAGCCCAUGAGAGAGAGACACCUCCAAGUCCUUCCCACCCCACCCCCACCACAGCCACUCAGCCCCAUCCUUCCAGCCACGUUGCCUUGGAAACCAGAACAAUUCCCCAAACAUCCCAAGAUUCCCACGCACUCAGGAACUCUCCUGGAGAUGGGUGGGGGACAACAGCAAUUGUUUUCACAGAUGAAGGGACCAGGAGAGAGCAGGUUGGAGCCCGUGGGUUACUUACAGCUGGCCCUCCAGCUACUCCACACAAACCCAGGGAGCGGAAACCUGAGUGUGAGCUCAAAACAGAUGACCGUAGCUUGUGUCAAGUUGACAAAAAGCUGACAAGCGUCGUGUGCAUCGCUGCUGCAGCCUGGGAAUCCUAGCCCUGGCUAGCCUGUCAACCUUUUAGAAAAAUGGGUGUCUCCGUUGGAUGCUGAACUACCAGGCAUGUGUCCUAUACCUUCUGGCCAGAGGCCCAGCCUCUAUAAUCCAGUAUAGGUCAGAGCAUAACCCUGAAAAGUGUACCCAGCAGGAACAUCAGCUGUGGACACAGUUGGCAGGCCUCCUUCCCAGAGGCUCCUUUCACCAGCCUAGAGCAGCAGAGACCUGAGUUCUGAUGGAUGGGGAGCUGGGAUGUGUAUUUUGUCCUGCUGACUAUACCUCUGAAUUUUAUUUGGGUGGAAAGCUGGCCUGAGAUACAAAGAGGAGGAGGUAGAAUAACUCUGUUUUCAGGCUGGAGUGAGGUUUACAGGCAUGCUGGCUGCUAGCCAACUCAUUAUCUUAUACCUAUGUCAGAGAGCAAGCAGGAUUCAGGGGAGCCAAGUGUCUAUCCCUGGUCCAGAUGGUUUGGUCAGCGUAGAGAAACAGAAG
rnacentral:lncRNA from 1 species